rnacentral:tRNA from 1 species
GUCCGCGUGGCCUAAUGGAUAAGGCGCCUGAUUCCGGAUCAGAUUGCAGGUUCGAGUCCUGUCGCGGACG